CUGGGGGUGACUUGGUUGAGUCUGAGACGUUUCCUUCCACUGAGUGGACCAGAAGCGAACCCUUUGAACCUGAUCCGGUUAAUACCGGCGUAGGGAAGGAGG
rnacentral:ncRNA from 1 species